rnacentral:rRNA from 1 species
CAGUCGCCGCGGGAAUACGUAGGGUGCAAGCGUUAUCCGGAAUUAUUGGGCGUAAAGAGCUCGUAGGCGGUUUGUCGCGUCUGCUGUGAAAACUGGAGGCUCAACCUCCAGCCUGCAGUGGGUACGGGCAGACUAGAGUGCGGUAGGGGAGAUUGGAAUUCCUGGUGAAGCGGUGGAAUGCGCAGAUAUCAGGAGGAACACCGAUGGCGAAGGCAGAUCUCUGGGCCGUAACUGACGCUGAGGAGCGAAAGCAUGGGGAGCGAACAGGAUUAGAGACCCGUGUAGUCCCUGUCUCUUAUAA